ensembl:snRNA U6 U6 spliceosomal RNA
GUGCUUGUUUCAGCAGUGCGUAUACUAAAAUUGGAACAAAAUAGAGAAGAUUAGCAUGGCGCCUACACCAGGAUGACACACAAAUUUGUGAAGCAUUUCAUAUUGAA